UAAUUAACCAAUUCUUUUCUUUUCAGCAACUGGUGGCAAACCAAGUGACUGGUGCUAUUAGAAACACAUACCACAACCGCUAUGUGGCAGGCCCUGGUGCAAAGACGAUCUAUUUAGCCCCAGGCGGUUCAGAUGACUGGGCUUACGACCAAGGAAUUAAGUAUUCUUUUACUUUUGAGCUUCGGGACAAAGGAAGAUAUGGAUUCUUACUUCCUCAGCAUCUCAUUAAGCCGACCUGCUACGAAGCUAUUACCGGGAUCAAAACUAUAGCUUCGCAUGUGAUUGAUAAUAUGUAAAACAUACAAUCCCAUUUUGGCAUUAUACGUUACAGCAUUUCACCGAGUCCACUUAAUUCACAUUGUUUUGCUAUUUUAAUUUCAAGUAAGACUUAUUUUCCAUGCUUUUUUUGUAUGAUUAACAGUGUGGGUAAUGAGCCUGUUCAAACCUGAUUCUGAAGAAUGGCUUUCCAGCUCACAUGAACACGGAAUUGCUCAACUGCUGUUAAAAGCAGCUGCAACUUUCCUCCCCCCCACCAUAUAAACCUGAAGAAGGGUGCUACUACUUUAAAAGGUCAAUUGGAACUCUUAAGGGUUAGGGUUGGAAGACUAAAAUUGUGGCUGCUUUAAUGAGUAGCAAAAUAGUGCUAUCCUUAUGCAAGGUUCAAAACCUUUCUUUUAGAUCAUUUCUGAAAUAUGAUGGCUCUGUAAGAAAUAACUGAUUUCCAUGUAUUGUCUGUAAGUACAUUCAGAGGCAAAUGGCCAGAUUUUAGGCCUUUGUCUAGAAAGAAAGAAAGAAAGAACUCAGCCUUUUGGCCUUGUGUUGUUAACAGUGCACUAUGUGAAAAUAUCAUAGAACCUGCAAGCAGAGGAUCAAACAUGCAUGAAAAUAAGGCUUUGUAGUGGUACUGAUCCCCAACUUAGGAGAAAUAUAAAAUAUUUUCCCUCCUAAUUUGGCAACUGUGUGGUGCUGAGACUAUCAAUGCUUCAGUUAGCAACAUUAAGCAAUUUUAACAAGAACCAAUAAACAAAACCAUCUUGGUAUCUUAUAAUUGUCUUAAGAGCACAAAUAGAUAACACCUGUAACUGGAUCUUUUGUCCAGUAUAGACAAUGAGAAUAUUUACAUUCUUCUUCUUCUUUAUGAUAUAAGCCUCCUGAGCAGGCUAAAUUACACCACCUAUGUGCAAGAGAUAAUUAUAAUCUAACACUGCAGAUGGCAGAACAAAUCUUAAGAAAAAGACCCAAGGGGAAAAUUUCUUCCCCAAAUUAUCCAAUGGCACAGAACACUGAUAAACUUAAAGAAAAGGACCAAUAAUGGAGUGGGAUAUUUAGAGAAAGAAAACAAAGGAAGAGGCAGAAAUAAAACAACCUCAAAUGGUUCUGAAGCUCAGGUUACAGUCUGAAGACCAUCUGUGGAUGGUCUUGGGUGCAGCCAAAGUGAAAUGCAAACUGAAGAAAUAUCUCACCCAAAACUGCACUGCCAAUCGGUCUCUGUUUUUUUUUUUGGAAUAUGGGUGCUCUUAGGGGCUGAUCAUAGGAAAAAAGCAUCCUUGGUUGGGGAGACAAUUGCAGUCAGCAAAACAAGCAGCUAACUAACAAAGUCAGUAUGUUCAAAAAACCCAAAAAGUGUAUAAGCACGCACACACGCGUGCACACACACACACCACUAUUAGCAUCUGCACUUUUAGAUUAUGACCUAAUACUUUUCAAGGACAUUUGGUGAGGAUGUCUAGAUAUAUUUCAAAUGGAACCUUUUUUGCAUAUUAACCACAAACUAAAUUAAACAUCAAGAGUCAGUUUUAGAAGUAGCCUC